GAGUGGCGAACGGGUGAGUAACACGUGGGUAACCUGCCCAGAAGUAGGGGAUAACACCUGGAAACAGAUGCUAAUACCGUAUAACAGAGAAAACCGCAUGGUUUUCUUUUAAAAGAUGGCUCUGCUAUCACUUCUGGAUGGACCCGCGGCGUAUUAGCUAGUUGGUGAGGUAAAGGCUCACCAAGGCAGUGAUACGUAGCCGACCUGAGAGGGUAAUCGGCCACAUUGGGACUGAGACACGGCCCAGACUCCUACGGGAGGCAGCAGUAGGGAAUCUUCCACAAUGGACGCAAGUCUGAUGGAGCAACGCCGCGUGAGUGAAGAAGGGUUUCGGCUCGUAAAGCUCUGUUGUUAAAGAAGAACGUGGGUAAGAGUAACUGUUUACCCAGUGACGGUAUUUAACCAGAAAGCCACGGCUAACUACGUGCCAGCAGCCGCGGUAAUACGUAGGUGGCAAGCGUUAUCCGGAUUUAUUGGGCGUAAAGCGAGCGCAGGCGGUCUUUUAAGUCUAAUGUGAAAGCCUUCGGCUCAACCGAAGAAGUGCAUUGGAAACUGGGAGACUUGAGUGCAGAAGAGGACAGUGGAACUCCAUGUGUAGCGGUGAAAUGCGUAGAUAUAUGGAAGAACACCAGUGGCGAAGGCGGCUGUCUGGUCUGCAACUGACGCUGAGGCUCGAAAGCAUGGGUAGCGAACAGGAUUAGAUACCCUGGUAGUCCAUGCCGUAAACGAUGAUUACUAAGUGUUGGAGGGUUUCCGCCCUUCAGUGCUGCAGCUAACGCAUUAAGUAAUCCGCCUGGGGAGUACGACCGCAAGGUUGAAACUCAAAAGAAUUGACGGGGGCCCGCACAAGCGGUGGAGCAUGUGGUUUAAUUCGAAGCUACGCGAAGAACCUUACCAGGUCUUGACAUCUUCUGACAGUCUAAGAGAUUAGAGGUUCCCUUCGGGGACAGAAUGACAGGUGGUGCAUGGUUGUCGUCAGCUCGUGUCGUGAGAUGUUGGGUUAAGUCCCGCAACGAGCGCAACCCUUAUUACUAGUUGCCAGCAUUAAGUUGGGCACUCUAGUGAGACUGCCGGUGACAAACCGGAGGAAGGUGGGGACGACGUCAAAUCAUCAUGCCCCUUAUGACCUGGGCUACACACGUGCUACAAUGGAUGGUACAACGAGUCGCGAGACCGCGAGGUUAAGCUAAUCUCUUAAAACCAUUCUCAGUUCGGACUGUAGGCUGCAACUCGCCUACACGAAGUCGGAAUCGCUAGUAAUCGCGGAUCAGCAUGCCGCGGUGAAUACGUUCCCGGGCCUUGUACACACCGCCCGUCACACCAUGAGAGUUUGUAACACCCAAAGCCGGUGGGGU
rnacentral:rRNA from 1 species